GUAAAGAAAGUGCCCAGAGGAAGUGGUCAUACACUUAGGAAGGGAGGAAGAAGUCCAUCUCUCAUGGGUUCCAUGACACCACGUCUCGGUGCCAUUGGAAGCCAGAAGAAGCCAUCAGUUCUACUGAGGCUGGAGCUACAGGUAGUCGUGAAUUGCCUGAUGUGGAUUCUAGGACGGAACUCCAGUUCUCCACAAAAGCAUCAAUUAUGUUUCUGCUUUGGAGCUUCUGGCAAGCUGUUGAAGGAGGUAUCUAUAACUACCGUGAUUCUGGACCCUACGAAGAGACGUUCAUGAUGCUUCACACAUUCCACAGUUCUUCACAGCCUGUGAACCGUCAUGCUACUAAAAGAAUGUCCACAUGAAUACUGUUGGGGGAAGUAACCACGUGAAGACUUUAGAAAAAGACCCCCUUGGGCCCAGGUAAAGAUCAUUACUGAAAUGUCCUUAGCAGGUUUGCAU
rnacentral:lncRNA from 1 species